UUGACACGCCUGGUGGCGAUUCCUCCCUAAACUCAGGCCGCGCUGCCUUUCGGCGCGGUCUUUCUUUUUGUGGGGU
rnacentral:misc_RNA from 2 species